GAUGAACGCUGGCGGCGUGCCUAAUACAUGCAAGUCGAGCGAACAGACGAGGAGCUUGCUCUUCUGACGUUAGCGGCGGACGGGUGAGUAACACGUGGAUAACCUACCUAUAAGACUGGGAUAACUUCGGGAAACCGGAGCUAAUACCGGAUAAUAUAUUGAACCGCAUGGUUCAAUAGUGAAAGACGGUUUUGCUGUCACUUAUAGAUGGAUCCGCGCCGCAUUAGCUAGUUGGUAAGGUAACGGCUUACCAAGGCAACGAUGCGUAGCCGACCUGAGAGGGUGAUAGGCCACAAUGGAACUGAGACAAGGUCCAGACUCCUAAGGGAGGCAGCAGUAGGGAAUCUUCCGCAAUGGGCGAAAGCCUGACGGAGCAACGCCGCGUGAGUGAUGAAGGUCUUCGGAUCGUAAAACUCUGUUAUUAGGGAAGAACAAAUGUGUAAGUAACUAUGCACGUCUUGACGGUACCUAAUCAGAAAGCCACGGCUAACUACGUG
rnacentral:rRNA from 1 species